UUAUCUGCAAAGGGCUGUAACUUAUCUUUGAAAGAUAUUUUACAAGUUGUACCUAAUGUAUGUAUACUAUUGUUAAUACCGAUUAAGUUUAUUUUUUAUAAGUACAAAAGUGAACGCCGUAUCAUGUUUGAUGCUUUGUUAAGUGUUGAAUUAUUUAAAGUAUUAUUUUUUAUGUAAAAUUGAAAUAAAAAUAGAUGUAUAUA